UGAUCAAGCAAUGCCGCGUGAGUGAUGAAGCCUCGGGCGAACUGCUUUGGCGGGACGAAACGGUCCGGGUUAAUAGCUGGGCUAAUGACGGCUCCGUGUCAAAAGCCCCGCUAACUAUGUGCCCUAGCCGCGGUAAUAAUUAUGGUGCAAGCGUUAAUCGGAAUUACUGGGCGUAAAGCGUGCGCAAGCCGCUUUGUAAGUCCGAUGUGAAAUCCCCGGGCUCAACCUGGGAACUGCAUUUGAGACUGCAUUGCUUGAGUGCGGAAGAGGGAAAUGGAAUUUCAUGUGUAGCAGUGAAAUGCGUAAAUAUGCGUAGGAACACCGAUGGCGAAGGCAAUCUCCUGGACCUGGACUGACGCUCAUGAUCAAAAGCCUGGGGAGCAAACAGGAUUAAAUACCCUGGUAGUCCACGCCCUAAACGAUGACAACUGGUUGUUGGGGAUUUUCUUCCUCUUUCGCCCUGCUAAACGUGAAGUUGACCCCCUGGGGAUGAAAGGGCCCCGGGGUUAACUUCAGGAUUUUUUUGGGGG
rnacentral:rRNA from 1 species